GAAUGAACGCUGGCGGCGUGCUUAACACAUGCAAGUCGAGCGAGGCCAGGGGGGCAACUCCCUGAGUCGAGCGGCGGACGGGUGAGUAACACGUGGGUAACCUACCCGGAAGUGGGGAAUACCUCGGGGAAACUCGAGCUAAUACCGCAUGACAUCUUUGGGACGAAAGUCCUGACGAUCAAAGCGGGGUCGCAAGGCCUCGCGCUACCGGAUGGGCCCGCGCCCGAUUAGCUAGUUGGCGAGGUAAUGGCUCACCAAGGCGACGAUCGGUAACCGGCCUGAGAGGGCGAUCGGUCACACCGGAACUGAGACACGGUCCGGACUCCUACGGGAGGCAGCAGUGGGGAAUCUUGCGCAAUGGGCGAAAGCCUGACGCAGCAACGCCGCGUGGAGGAUGAAGGCCCUUGGGUUGUAAACUCCUGUCGGCUGGGAAGAACUCGUUCGCGGUUAAUACCCGCGGACGUUGACUGUACCAGCAAAGGAAGCCCC
rnacentral:rRNA from 1 species